CACCAAAGAAUGAAGGGGUACUUAACACCCAAGUUGAAGCUCCAUUGAUAUCAAUAAUUAAUGGUCCGGUGGAACAAAUAAAACGACCACCAUCGACACCUGAAAGUGAAGAAACUAUAGACAUUCCAAUUGAAGCUCCUCAGACGAUACCAGGUCCAAUCGAACAAAAAGACUCACCAACAUUAAUAUCACGACAUAGAGGGAUACAUAACAACCCAGUUGAAGCUCCUUCUUCAAUAGAUUUUAUUCUUCCAUUAAACAAAACAAGACAACCAUCAUCAACACCUGAAUGGGAAGAAACUAUAGACAUUCCAAUUGAAACUCCUUUGGUGGCACCAAUUCAAAUUGAAAGAAAACAUUCGCCAAUACCAACACCAAAGAAUGGAGGGACACUUAACACCAAAGUUGAAGCUCCAUUAAUAUCAGCAAUUACUGGUCCAAUGAAGCAAAUAAAACGACCACCAUCGAUACCUGAACGUGAAGAAACUAUAGACAUUCCAAUUGAAUCUCCUCAAAUGACGCCAAGUCCAAUCGAACAAAAACAUAUACCAUCAUCAACACCACAACAUGG
rnacentral:lncRNA from 1 species